rnacentral:rRNA from 1 species
UGAACGCUGGCGGCAGGCUUAACACAUGCAAGUCGAGCGGUAACAGGGGGUGCUUGCUCCCCGCUGACGAGCGGCGGACGGGUGAGUAAUGCAUAGGAAACUGCCCAGUAGUGGGGGAUAGCCCGGGGAAACCCGGAUUAAUACCGCGUACGCCCUUCGGGGGAAAGCAGGGGAUCUUCGGACCUUGCGCUAUUGGAUGUGCCUAUGUCGGAUUAGCUAGUUGGUGGGGUAAAGGCCUACCAAGGCGACGAUCCGUAGCUGGUCUGAGAGGAUGAUCAGCCACAUCGGGACUGAGACACGGCCCGAACUCCUACGGGAGGCAGCAGUGGGGAAUAUUGGACAAUGGGGGCAACCCUGAUCCAGCCAUGCCGCGUGUGUGAAGAAGGCUUUCGGGUUGUAAAGCACUUUCAGUGAGGAGGAAAACUCUGCGACUAAUACUCGUAGGGCUUGACGUUACUCACAGAAGAAGCACCGGCUAACUCCGUGCCAGCAGCCGCGGUAAUACGGAGGGUGCAAGCGUUAAUCGGAAUUACUGGGCGUAAAGCGCGCGUAGGUGGUUUGAUAAGCGAGAUGUGAAAGCCCCGGGCUUAACCUGGGAACGGCAUUUCGAACUGUCAGGCUAGAGUAUGGUAGAGGGUAGUGGAAUUUCCUGUGUAGCGGUGAAAUGCGUAGAUAUAGGAAGGAACACCAGUGGCGAAGGCGGCUACCUGGACCAAUACUGACAC